GGGUGUGACUUUAAGAAUAAGUUCGAGUAAGAGGUAUGAAGAAAUUGAAAAUGGAACUGAAGAUACCUACAAUAUUAAACUCAAACCUGAAUGUAUGCAAUUAUGGAAUGAACGUUUGAUUGGAUUGCACAGUGACAAAUUGACAAAUGUAAAAGAAGCAUUAAGAAAACGAAUGGCAAUACCAAUACUGACAACUCCACAUCAGAUAAUACUUUGAAUGGCUAAUGAAGAUGCUAAUAGAAAACAAAAUGGGGAAAGUGAAUUGAAUAAUAGAGGUAAA